UCAUCAUUGUUGAGUCCAUUAUUAGGAUUUGUAUUAGUCCAAUCACAUCUUUCUCAUGUAUAAUCGGUUUUUGGAAUGAUCUCAAUAGGUUCCUUGUGAAAUACCAGUGUAGGUCACAUUAGCCAUCAUUUCACUGUGAGCUAUGUCUCUCCUUUUGAGCUAGUUCUUGGAGGUAGUCCUCACGAUCACAGAACUUGUAUAGUGUACAGUCCAAU